CCAGUGUUCUUGCCUGGAGAAUCCCAGGGACGGGGGAGCCUGGUGGGCUGCCGUCUGUGGGGUCGCACAGAGUCGGACACGACUGAAGCGACUUAGCAGCAGCAGCAGCAGCAUGAGUAAUAACAAGGGAUGGAGAAAGUUGGUAACCUGUCCCAGGUGAUACAAGUUAGCAAAUAGCAGAGGCUGGAUUUGAGCUGGUAUUCUGGGUUUUGAGUGUGUAUAUAUAAUUCCUACAUUAUGUCACUUUUCACUGUAGCCAGGUGUGGGAUUUAGAAAAUAUACAGAAAGGAUUUUGCAAAAAGAGGGGCAGGAUAAGAGUGAAGAUUCCUUAUAGGUUUUGUGGAUCGGAUGGUUGAAUCAAGAAGGCAUUUGCUUGCUGCUCUUUAGCGUCCCCUGCCGACAAGGGAAGAGAAAAGGUGGUCUGAACCAGAAAUGCAAAGAUACUGGGAAGACACUCAUGGGGAUGUUGAAGGUGGGGACGGAUUGAGCAGGAAUCCCCAUACCCUCUCCGUGGGGUAGUACGGUUCUUGGAGGAGCUAGCAGAUGGAGGCUGGCUAGUAGACCCGGGAAGGGGUUCUUGUCGUCCUAGCUGGAGUGCCUCUGAUGGACUUCUCGGGAUCAUCCCUACGCGACCAGUUGGCCACUCCUUCAGAGGCGGGGGCUUCUGCUACUGCUUAAAAAGCGGAUUUUCUUCCCUGGAUAAAUCGUAGCCCCGCCCCCUUCUCCCAGGCUCAAAAUGGCUCUCUGGACUUGGGAGCUUCGACUUUCAGCUUCAGAGUUCCUUUCAACUUAAGAGUUCUUAGCAGCACGAACUCUGCCUCAGCCGCGGCUAGGACUCCUUAGAACACGAGCGUGUCAGAGCUGGGAGUCAUCCUCAGAAAUCCCCGCCUCUCUCAUUUUAAGAUUAUUUUCUCAUGUAGGUUGUCACAGAAUAUUGGCUAGAAUUCCUCGUGUUACACGGUGCAGUAGGAAGUAUUAGUUAUCACACAAACUCCACAUUGUUCUGCCAGAAGGUUAUCAAGAGUUAGACGAUCUUCAAGAGCUAUAUUAGCCAAAGAAACGAGAGAAGUAUUCAGUCCCUUUAAGGCUUGUCCCAUCUAUUCCAUCAUAUAACCAAGGUCUCUGGUGAGAUUUCUCAAUUUUUCUUCAUGAUAAAUAAAGCCUCCCCAUGGAAUUGCAGUCCUAUGGCCAGCUCUGCCCCUCUUAAGAUCAUUCCUAGUGCUCUCCAGGUUUGGUGGUGAGCUGGAGUGAUCCUGUUACAGAUACAAAUCCCUCUUAUCCUGUAGUCCCUAUGGUGGACUACAGGGUGGGCUACUCUCCUAUGAAGUGGACGUUAUCAGUACAUUUAUAGGCUAUAGCUUGGUUGGAAAAGAACAGGGCCUGGCCAUAAUUCUAUAACGCAUGGUUUGUGUGUCUGCAGAGGAAAACAGACCCUUCAGGUGUGCAGACUUAAAUGUCUGUCUGACAGUUGUUAAGAAUGGACACUCCUUGAGGGACAUAACUGUUGUUAAUACUUAAACAAUUAGGGGACAGAAGAGCAUUAUGUUGAUAGUUAAGCAUAUAAAGCUCUACAACAUUUAAAAAAAUGUUUAUGUAUUUAAUUUUAUUUGGUAUGCACCAGUAUGACCUUCUGGUAAUUGAAAUCCAAUAUGGGAUUUUUAAAUGAUUAGUCAACUCCACAGAGACAAUAUACUGCCGUGGAACACUGAAGGGGGAAAAAGCUGAUAUAUUUAUUUACAGUUCCCUGUAUUGUAAACAUUUGAUCUAUACACUGUUAGUAACUUUUAAUGAGAGCUUUACACAAAGAAACGAUGCCUUGCAUUUCUAUUCAUAUUUGGCAAAAGCAUAUUAAAUAGAAUAUCAGAUUUUCUUUUUCACUAGCAUUAUGCUUUCUUUAGAUAAUUAUCUAAACUUUCAAAAGACCUAAAUAUAUUCAAGUUCUAUACAACUAAAAGUACUUAAGCCAAAUAUUUGGCUUAUAAUUUCAUUUUUAGAAUAAAGUGCUAUAAACAACCUGGCAAUCAAAACUACCUUUAGACAUUAAUUUACAAUAUACAGUAUUUAUCUGGAAGAGCUUAAAUUUCAGCACAAGGUCACUAUCACGUGUAUAACAGCAGGAUUCUUUUUUAUGUAAAUGAAGCUUCGAAAUUAACUGAUGAAUUAUUGUCUUAAUGCCUCAUCAUUGGUUUCCUAAAAAAGAGGAUAAGAACUACUGAUAUAUCUUUUCUCUUCUUUAAGGUCACUUGACAUUAAUUUUCAUAUUCAGCAAGUCUACUGAAUUAUAAUAUUCUCCUAUAAUCAUUGUCCUUUUAUAGCAGCAAAUGCUAAUGGUAAUUUUUAACAUAUACCACUCAAAAAAAACCAAGUUGUUUUUUUCCUUUU